UAUUAUGUGUCGGGAGGAAUUUCUUUUCUGGUCCAGUCUAUUUGGAGUUCUGUAGGCUUCUUGUAUGAUCAUGGGCAUCUCUUUUUUUAUGUUUGGGAAGUUUUCUUCUAUUAUUUUGUUGAAGAUAUUAGCUGGCCCUUUAAGUUGAAAAUCUUCAUUCUCAUCAAUUCCUAUUAUCCGUAGGUUUGGUCUUCUCAUUGUGUCCUGGAUUACCUGGAUGUUUUGAGUUAGGAUCCUUUUGCAUUUUGUAUUUUCUUUGACUGUUGUGUCGAUGUUCUCUAUGGAAUCUUCUGCACCUGAGAUUCUCUCUUCCAUUUCUUGUAUUCUGUUGCUGAUGCUCGCAUCUAUGGUUCCAGAUCUCUUUCCUAGGGUUUCUAUCUCCAGCGUUGCCUCGCUUUGGGUUUUCUUUAUUGUGUCUACUUCCCCUUUUAGUUCUAGUAUGGUUUUGUUCAUUUCCAUCACCUGUUUGGAUGUGUUUUCCUGUUUUUCUUUAAUGAUUUCUACCUGUUUGGCUGUGUUUUCCUGCUUUUCUUUAAGGGCCUGUAACUCUUUAGCAGUGCUCUCCUGUAAUUCUUUAAGUGACUUAUGAAAGUCCUUCUUGAUGUCCUCUAUCAUCAUCAUGAGAAAUGUUUUUAAAUCUGGGUCUAGAUUUUCGGUUGUGUUGGGGUGCCCAGGACUAGGUGGGGUGGGAGUGCUGCGUUCUGAUGAUGGUGAGUGGUCUUGAUUUCUGUUAGUAGGAUUCUUACGUUUGCCUUUCGCCAUCUGGUAAUCUCUGAAGCUAGCUGUUUUAGUUGUCACUGUUAAGAGCUUGUUCUUCAGAUGACUCUGUUAGCCUCUAUGAGCAGACCUGGAGGGUAGCACUCUCCUUAGUUUCAGUGGGCAGAGUAUUCUCUGCAGGCAAGCUCUCUUCUUGCAAGGCAGGUACCCAGAUAUCUGGUGUUCGAACCAGACUCCUGGCAGAAGUUGUGUUCCACUCACUAGAGGUCUUAGGAUCACGUGUGGAAUCCUGUGUGGGCCCUUGCGGGUGUCAGGCGACUCAGCUGGCAAGGUAGCCCGGGGCUCGAGUAGAGCGGAAGGGACUUGUGCCCCAGAUCAGGCCCGGGUAGCCUGCUUCCCUAUGUACCGCAGUCUCAAGUUCCGCGAGAUUGGAUUGGGGCAGGCGCUGUGUUCCACUCACCAGAGGUCUUAGGAUCCCGUGGGGAGUCCCGUGUGGGCCCUUGCGGGUGUCAGGCGACUCAGCUGGCAAGGUAGCCCGGGGCUCGAGUGGAGCGGAAGGGGUUUGUGCCCCAGAUCAAGCCCGGGUAGCCUGCUUCCCUAUGUACCGCAGUCUCAAGUUCCCCCCGAUUGGAUUGGGGCAGGCGCUGUGUUCCACUCGCCAGAGGUCUUAGGGUCCCGUGGGGAGUCCCGUGUGGGCCCUUGCGGGUGUUGGGCAAGACUCUGCUGGCAAGGUAGCCCGGGGCUCGAGUCUCGAGUCGAGCGGAAGGGACUUGUCGACACGUGAAGUCUUAACUCACGACAUAUGAAUCCCCAACAGGCACUGAGGUCUUAUUGACAUAUCUAUUUUUACUGUAGAGUCCACCCCUGAAGAAAAUGACCUGUUCUAGGAAGACUAAGGUCUAGGGUCAGCAGGCUCCUGUAUUCUCUCCAUGGCUUGCUCCCAUCCCAUAGGCAUCUUUUAUUUCUGAUUUGAAUUAGAAUAAAGAUGGAGCUACCAGAGUUGGGAGCAUCUACUCCCUGGCACAUGCACAUACAUGCAGAUCUAGUGCUUCCAUAUGUUCAUUUCUUCAAAGCCAUUUUAGUGAACCCUUUCUUCAUGCUGGACAGCAUACAGAACACACAGCACUCAUGUUCUCCAUGAUCAGCGCCCUUCUGGGGACUUCUUAUAUUCCACUUGUGCACAAUCUCCCCAGAGGCAAAGAAUAUCUGUGGACUAACUAGCUAGCAUAGCCCUAUGCAAAGAUGAAAAAAAAAUAACUGAAGAUUUACUUAGCCUAAUGACCUGAGAUCAGAGGAAUCUUGAUGAAGUUUUCAAAGGGAAUUAGAGACUAGUUUUAUUUAUUUUUUUUAAAUCACUAUUCUGAUUCAUGGUCUUUUGUAUUAUAGUAUUUCAUAAUUGCAUGAAAUGAGACCACGUUUUUGCAUGCGCAUAGCUGGGAACAUUGUAUUGAGAACUAAAGGACUGGGGAAUAAUGCUGCUACUGUUACCAGAAACAAAGUCAGUGAGAGGGGUUUCUACAAAAUGCUGGGAGUUUAACCUCCCUGAUUUCAUAACCAGGAUUAAAAAUUUUACUAAGUUCUGGAAGAUUCCAUAAGGGUAUAUGAAACUGAGUUGAAGCACCAUGAUGGUUUUUCUUUAAAAGACAUGUUUAGUUGCACCCAACCAGCCUCAGAUCAAGAAUGCUAAGCAAUCUCUCACUUUUUUUUUUGGUCAUAGGUCUUGGCUAGCCUGCGAACCGUACGGAACAACUUUGCUGCGUUAACGAAUUUGCAAGACCGAGCACCCAGCAAGUAAGCUCCUCUCCCUCUUGCUCUCUUUUGGCUGAACCUUUAGUAUCUUCUCAACUUGACCUGCACUCAGGACAGCACAUUAGACACCGCAGAAUCACCUCCCUUGUCCGGCCGUGUGCCCUACAUCAUACUUUGCCUACUUCAUUUUCUGUAAUGACUUUGUAGUGACUCGAGGCUUGAAAUAUCGAAGCAGAAAAGGCAAAUGCAGUGAUGCCCCCUCUGUAGAAACCAUCUGGAAGCUCCUCUGUCGCUCUCGCUCGCAGGAUCAUCUCAGGUUCUGCUUGCCUUGGGAACUGCCCAGGGCUUGUACUUUGUUUGCAUCUGUAUUCCCAGUUCCCAUCCUAACACGGAGUUGCAACCCUGAAGAUGCUGAGACUAGUCAAGGGUGUGCUUUGAGGAAUCCAUUCCUUGCCAGCGGCCAUUUCGGUAGAGCCUGGCCAGCUGGACCAUGCCAUCCUGACCUCCGCAGCUUCUUUGGCUUUUGGAAGAAACACAUUUCCUUUAAGUUUCCUUCAGACACUGCUACCUAGGUAGUGGCAUUUAAAUUGGUGACAGUUGAUCUGAUCAGUGUGUCAGUAUCACAAUGAUGAUUGUGUCUCUGAAGAGAUGUCCAUUCUAUCCCAAGCUACUUCAUAACUGUAACUUUGCUACUGUUAUCAAUUGUAAAAAAAAAAAAAAAUCUUUGAAGAGAGGGUUGCCAGAGGGGUCGCGACCCCCGGGUUGAGAACUGCUGCUCUAGAGGGCUCAGCAUUUGCCUGAUGUGCUCUCCUAACACCUCGAGAACAUUUCCAAGUUUACCAUCUCACUUUGAGGAGGGUCUACGCCUUUUUAUUUUCUUUAGGAAAGGAUUUGAUGGAGAAUAUGUCCUAAGAUUGUCCCUAGGUGGACAACCUGAGCUAAUACCCACUGUUAGUUUCUACCACCUCACUUUCUUGCCAUCAAGAUCUACAUACAUGCAUACAUACAUACAUACAUACAUACAUACACACGAACAUUUUUCAUAUAUAUAUAUAUGAAAUAUCUACAUAUAUUCAUUCCCAGAAGUGAGGCGUGUGUGGCUCAUUCUUUACUAAUGAUAUACCAACAUCCUUGUGGAUCUAAUGGUCAAUAAUAUGUAUUAUUGUUACUCUUUGGGUUACUACAUGUAAGCCAUAGAACUGAUUCUAGGAAAAGUUAAAUAGGAACAAGACAGUGAUUUUGUUCUCUACAACUAUGUAAAAAUAUAACGUCUUCAUUUGCUAAUACCAUGUGAAGAGACUACUUUCUAAAUUUUUACAGAACAAGGAUGAAAAAUUCUUAUCAACAUAUAAGUUAUUUGAAUAAACUCUAGACUACAGCAAUGCCACCCUAAAAGUGCUCUGUCACAUGUGCAUAAUAAACCUUCACCAAGAACAUAACCAUGCUACCUAGACUAGAACAGUCAUCUAAAACAACUCGUGUUUAAUGAAGUGUUUAUUAAGUUCUCAUUUCCACUUUCUGUUUUACACU
rnacentral:lncRNA from 1 species